UACGUAGGGUGCAAGCGUUGUCCGGAAUUAUUGGGCGUAAAGAGCUCGUAGGCGGUUUGUCGCGUCUGCUGUGAAAACUCAGGGCUUAACCCUGAGCUUGCAGUGGGUACGGGCAGACUAGAGUGCGGUAGGGGAGACUGGAAUUCCUGGUGUAGCGGUGAAAUGCGCAGAUGUCAGGAGGAACACCGGUGGCGAAGGCGGGUCUCUGGGCCGUAACUGACGCUGAGGAGCGAAAGCAUGGGGAGCGAACAGG
rnacentral:rRNA from 1 species